rnacentral:misc_RNA from 1 species
GUGACUGCGGAGGAUCAUUAUCGUACAACCGAGGUGCGGAGGGCUGUCGCUGACNUUUGUCGUGCACGCCCAAAGUGCUCUCAAACAAUAUCCAUCUCACCCAUUUGUGCAUCAUCGCGUGGGUCCUGCUUUUUGGCUUGUCCCAAGGAGGGGGGCUCGCGUUUUCACACAAACACCCUUUUAAUGCAGUGUAGAAUGUUCUUUUGCGAUGACUCGCAAUAAAUACAACUUUCAACAACGGAUCUCUUGGCUCUCGCAUCGAUGAAGAACGCAGCGAAAUGCGAUACGUAAUGUGAAUUGCAGAAUUCAGUGAAUCAUCGAAUCUUUGAACGCACCUUGCGCCCCUUGGCAUUCCGAGGGGCACACCCGUUUGAGUGUCGUGACAUUCUCAAAAAGAACCCUUCUUGGUCNUGCGAUCGGGAAAGGCUUUUUUUUGGACUUUGGAGGUUAUUGCUGGUCCCCCCUUGAUAGCCAGCUCCUCUUAAANGAAUUAGUAGGGACCGCUUUGCUGACCCUAGACGUGAUAAGAUGUUUCUGCGUCUUGGG